GCAUGUUUUCAGCUGUGCAAAGAUGCAACUAUGAGAAGUUGUUUGGUUUGAACGUGAGCACAAGUGUUAAAGUCUAAGAGCGCCGUGGAUGUGAUGUGACAGUCAAGUUCAAAGGAAAAUCAAAUGCUUCCCCCUCAACUGAAAUCAAGUACUUCCCCCUCAACUGAAUGUAUGAUCUGGGUUUGUUAGAGGCCUUUAGAGGAAAGUCAGACUGCCCAAGAGAGACAUUUGUGAAAGGGUUUCAGACUCUCAGGGGGAUGAUGGUCGUUGACUGCAGGCUUAAGACAACGAUGAAGACUUCCAGGGCUACCCUAAGAUUCAUGUAGGUUUUAGGUGAGAAGAUUGUCUAUUCAGCUACACUACUCUUAUAUCCAGAGAAACUGAAAGAAAAAUCCAGUAAAAGAAUGCAGAGUCAGGAAGUGUAUCAUGAUGAAGCUGUGGGUGUACUUUCUGACUCUUAGGAUCUACGAUGAAAAUCCUAAAUAAAAGGCAAAAGAGCUCGACCUUGUUUAAGUAUUUCCACAUUCAGAACUCUUGUCAAUAUCUGUAUAAGCGGAUUACACGGCUGUCAGCACACUAAGGCCAUCUGCAAGCCACCAUUGAUAAUCCAAGUAAAGAAUGUCUGAUAAAAUCUUACACUGUGAUUUUGUUUUUUUAACUAAAAAGUCACUUCUGUGAUUGCAGAAAGUUUUGUCCCAUGCAGUCGACUGUGCUGUUUCAUAACAAUGAUAAACACACAUGGCACUUCACUACAAACUUGGAAAUACGACAUGAUUUCUGCUCUUUCGGCUGACCAGUCAUUUAUCACAGGUCAUUUACAUAGGGCUGGAUGGCUUGGUAAACUAAUCACUCACCUCCUUCAUGUAGUGCUGCGUUCUUAGUACAUCACGUGAAAUUAGUUGGAUGAUUUUAGUUCCUUCUCCUGGGAGCCACAGCCCAGUUCACAGACAAACCAAAAACAAUCUGGCUGAACCCACCAGCCUGAGCCCACAUCAGGGGACAAGAGUGUCUUUUUAUUUUUUAAGUGUACAUUAAAAAAUAUUUAUUCACUUGUUUGGCUGCGUCAGGUCACUGUCGCAGAGCACAGGCUCUCCAGUUGUGGCGCGCCGGCCUUAGAGUGCAUGGGCUUAGUUGCCCCAUGGCAUGUAGGAUCUUAGCUCUCUGACCAGGGAUCCAACCUGCGUUCCCUGCAUUGGAAGGUGGAUUCUUAACCACUGGACCAGCAGGGAAGUCCCGACAGUAGUGUCUUGAUGUUGGAUUCAUGGACAGCCAGUGAGUCAGUUCUGACUUCUGAGAAGGAAGCUUUGGCUGAGGACAGAGCUAAAAGUACAGUAAUAGAAAAAAAGUGAUGUCUGUGUGUGCAUGUGUGCAUAGGUAUACAUAUGCAUGUAUUUUUGUUUUUUAGAACUUUGCAAUGGGUUUUCAUUUUUGCUUUAUAUCUAUUACAGUGUCUGAAACCUAAAGAAAUACAUUUUCUCUUCCAAUUUGGAUGUGUGUGUAAAUAUCAUUUGUCUGGACUCAGCACACUCAAUGCCAUGGUUUCUUGGUCUCUGUCUGCUCUGAAAUCAUCAA